rnacentral:tRNA from 1 species
GUGAAAUAACUCAGUUGGUAGAGCGUCACACUUAUAAAUCGACAGGUCCUUGGUUCGAUCCCCGGUGCCAGCA